ACAUACAUACAUGCACAUGUGUAUGUAUGCCCCCCCCCCCCAGUUGGUUGUUUCUUUUUUGUUCCCAUCUCUUUCUUUUUGGUGUUCAUUCCUGGCCCCCCAUCUCCCCCCACCUUCCUCUGCUGUAAAAGCCCCUUUGCAUUGACAGGCAAGGUUAGACCAACACAGCUACAAGCAACCCUUUGCAUUGAUGUGUUUCCUCCUUUCAGACUGCAGUGGAGCCAAGAGCAACUUGCUUAAGCCUUGAACUUUUCUCUCUACUUUCGAAUCCUAAGCGUCAAGCAGAGGCUUAGGGGGGUGGAAACAGGUGGGCCAAAGGGAGCAGGCAUCACCCCCUGGUGCAGUGGAGGGGGUGUGGGGAGGGCAGGGAUGAGGGUGACGAGGCCAUGAUGAUGGCCACUUCGGAAAUGCAAGCUCCUAAUAAUAAAAAAGUGAUGGGAAUCGGCAAAAAUCAGACUGCGUCCGGGUCCAGAUGGGAGAGAGCUUUCCCUUUGAGGUCUCUCCUGCUGCAAAGGGUUAAAUUUGCUACUCAGUUUUUUUUUUCAUGUUUGGCUUUAUAAAUGCACAGGUAUGUUUUAAAAAAAAGAAAAGGAAAAAAAUAUAGUGUGGAGACAUUAUACAUUUUUCCCCUCUCUGAAGUAAAUUAAAUGUUGCACCUUAUUUUGAACUGUUUUUUUAUAGUGUCUCUCCUUCCACUUGGUAACUUGCACUUGUUUAGAGAGCCCUGGAUUAGUGCUUUGUCGGGAUGAGGGGCAGGUGGCAGGAGGUUUUAUGCUAUGCUAGCACUUUAUUGAGAAAUGGACUAUGAAUGAAUUAACCUUGAGCCCAAUCCUUCAGUGCCUUGUGCACCUCCAGUUGCCACUGGCUUCAGUGAGAGUUUUGGGUACGCAAGGGAAAGAGGAUGAGAUCCAUUACAUAAUUUCUUUAGCUAAGGUCUGGUGGUAUGGCAAGUGCAUUUGUUCUCCCCUGCCCCCAUGUCCUUAUUUAAUUCAUUCUGUCCCUCAGUUUUUCUAACUUUACUGUAUAAAAUGAAUGUUUCUGCACUGAACUAAAAAAAAAAGCCCUGAACUAAUUUUAUCCUUAAUUAUGGGUUAUUAAAAAAAAAUAGAGGAAA